rnacentral:lncRNA from 1 species
CAGGACGACCAAGAGCCUGAUGACAGCUCCUUCCAGAGAGCACAGCCUCAGAUGACACGAAUGAGGGAUAGGGGCUGUUCGGCCUGCGAUGUAGUGCCGCUGUGUGACUUUCAGAGGGGUGUUGGUUGCGGCGUGUGAAUCUGAAGGGCGAGAGGGUGGAUCACGAGGGGCCUGGAUCAUCAGGACACACACACACUCCCUCUGUGACAUCCAAGAGGGUCCGCAUCGCCAAGAACUCCAACCAGUCGAUGGCCCAGCAUGCUCUGCUCUCCACACCCUCGCAGCACGCCUGAAAUCACAGCCCUCCUGCAUCGCCUCAAACUGACAAAUGUAUUGGACAUGUGCGUGAGACGCUAGGUAUUUUUGACCUGACAUCUCCUUCUGAAAGCGCGUCGGGAGUGCAUGAGUGUGUCUGUAAGCCGGAGUGGCCCGAGGCUCUGCUCACUGGAACAAUGCAGAGAUCAAAGCCCAGAGCACUGACAGGUGAUGAGUGGCUUCCCGUGGCCGGAGCGCCGCAGCCAGGCUCACACCUGUACCAGGUGAUUACAGGUAGAUCUGCCUGCCUCUAAUUGGACAAUAAAUGCUGCUCUCAGCUCGCUAAUGGCA